UCCUCGUAGCCGAGGUUGGCGGUGGUCGGGCCGCGGCCGACGGCGACGAGCAUGAGCUCGGCCUCGACGGUCUCGCCGCCGGCGAGCGUC
rnacentral:tRNA from 1 species